GACGAACGCUGGCGGCGUGCCUAAUACAUGCAAGUCGAGCGAAUCUUCGGGUGCUUGCACCCAUUGGUUAGCGGCGGACGGGUGAGUAACACGUGGGCAACCUACCUGUAAGACUGGGAUAACUUCGGGAAACCGGAGCUAAUACCGGAUAAUCCUUUUCCUCACAGUGAGGAAAAGCUGAAAGUCGGUUUCGGCUGACACUUACAGAUGGGCCCGCGGCGCAUUAGCUAGUUGGUGAGGUAACGGCUCACCAAGGCGACGAGUGCGUAGCCGACCUGAGAGGGUGAUCGGCCACACUGGGACUGAGACACGGCCCAG
rnacentral:rRNA from 1 species